rnacentral:rRNA from 2 species
GAUCGAUGAGGAGCUUGCUCCCUGAGAUCAGCGGCGGACGGGUGAGUAACACGUGGGUAACCUGCCUGUAAGACUGGGAUAACUCCGGGAAACCGGGGCUAAUACCGGAUAACACCUACCCCCGCAUGGGGGAAGGUUGAAAGGUGGCUUCGGCUAUCACUUACAGAUGGACCCGCGGCGCAUUAGCUAGUUGGUGAGGUAACGGCUCACCAAGGCGACGAUGCGUAGCCGACCUGAAAGGGUGAUCGGCCACACUGGGACUGAAACACGGCCCAGACUCCUACGGGAGGCAGCAGUAGGGAAUCUUCCGCAAUGGACGAAAGUCUGACGGAACAACCCCGCGUGAGUUGAGAAGGUUUUCGGAUCGUAAAACUCUGUUGUUAGGGAAGAACAAGUGCCGUUCGAAUAGGGCGGCACCUUGACGGUACCUAACCAAAAAGCCACGGCUAACUACGUGCCAGCAGCCGCGGUAAAACGUAGGUGGCAAGCGUUGUCCGGAAUUAUUGGGCGUAAAGCGCGGGAGUGGUUUCUUAGUCUGAUGUGAAACCCCCGGUCAACCGUGGAGGUCAUUGAAAUGGGAACUUGGUGGCA